GCAAGUCGAACGGUCAAAAUGAAGGUGCUUGCACCUGAAAGACGAGUGGCGAACGGGUGCGUAAUACGUAGGAACCUGCCCUGAAGUGGGGGACAACCACGGGAAACUGUGGCUAAUACCCCAUAGUACCGAAAGGUUAAAGGAUGAUUUCAUUCGCUUCGGGAUGGGCCUAUGGGCUAUCAGCUUGUUGGUGGGGUAAUGGCUCACCAAGGCAGCGACGGCUAUCCGGCCUGAGAGGGCGAUCGGACACACUGGCACUGAGACACGGGCCAGACUCUUACGGGAGGCAGCAGUUAAGAAUCUUGCGCAAUGGGCGAAAGCCUGACGCAGCCACGCCGCGUGAGCGAUGAAGGCCUUAGGGUUGUAAAGCUCGUUUAGAUGGGAAGAAUAAGUAUGGUCCAAUAGGCCAUGCGAUGACCUACCAUCCGCAAGCCCCGGCUAAUUACGUGCCAGCAGCCGCGGUAAUACGUAUGGGGCAAGCGUUGUUCGGAUUUAUUGGGCGUAAAGGGCACGCAGGCGGAUUGCUAAGUUGGAUGUAUAAUCGUCAGGCUCAACCUGAUUUCUGCAUCCAAAACUGGCGGUCUAGAGUCUCGGAGGGGAAAGCGGAAUUCUUGGUGUAGCGGUGGAAUGCGUAGAUAUCAAGAGGAACACCGAUGGCGAAGGCGGCUUUCUGGACGAAGACUGACGCUCAGGUGCGAAAGCGUGGGGAGCAAACAGGAUUAGAUACCCUGGUAGUCCACGCCCUAAACGUUGUACACUAGGUGUCGGGGGUUUCAACGCCUUCGGUGCCGCAGCUAACGCAUUAAGUGUACCGCCUGGGGAGUACGCCCGCAAGGGUGAAACUCAAAGGAAUUGACGGGGGCCCGCACAAGCGGUGAGC
rnacentral:rRNA from 1 species